AUACCUAGAUUUUAAAACUCGGGCCUGAUAAAAACUGAGGCCUAGGGUCAACCACUCCGGAUGUGCUGACCCCUGCGAUUUCCCCAAAUGUGGGAAACUCGACUGCAUAAUUUGUGGUAGUGGGGGACUGCGUUCGCGCUUUCCCCUG
rnacentral:snRNA from 1 species